rnacentral:rRNA from 2 species
GACGAACCGUACGAACGUUAUUCGGAAUUACUGGGCUUAAAGGGUGCGUAGGCGGCGCUGAAAGUUGGGUGUGAAAUCCCUCGGCUCAACCGAGGAACUGCGCUCAAUACUACAGUGCUCGAGGGAGAUAGAGGUAAGCGGAACUUAGGGUGGAGCGGUGAAAUGCGUUGAUAUCCUAAGGAACACCUGUGGCGAAAGCGGCUUACUGGAUCUCUUCUGACGCUGAGGCACGAAAGCUAGGGUAGCGAACGGG